rnacentral:rRNA from 1 species
GACGAACGCUGGCGGCGUGCCUAAUACAUGCAAGUCGUGCGGACCUUGUUGAAAGCUUGCUUUUAAAAGGUUAGCGGCGGACGGGUGAGUAACACGUGGGCAACCUGCCUGUAGGACUGGGAUAACGCCGGGAAACCGGGGCUAAUACCAGAUCGUUUUUUCCUCCGCAUGGAGGAAAAAGGAAAGGCGGCUUCGGCUGCCACUUACAGAUGGGCCCGCGGCGCAUUAGCUAGUUGGCGGGGUAAUGGCCCACCAAGGCAACGAUGCGUAGCCGACCUGAGAGGGUGAUCGGCCACAUUGGGACUGAGACACGGCCCAAACUCCUACGGGAGGCAGCAGUAGGGAAUCUUCCGCAAUGGACGAAAGUCUGACGGAGCAACGCCGCGUGAGUGAAGAAGGCCUUCGGGUCGUAAAACUCUGUUGCCGGGGAAGAACAAGUGCCGUUCGAACAGGGCGGCGCCUUGACGGUACCCGGCCAGAAAGCCACGGCUAACUACGUG